rnacentral:rRNA from 1 species
CACUCCUACGGGAGGCAGCAGUGGGGAAUUUUGGACAAUGGGCGAAAGCCUGAUCCAGCAAUGCCGCGUGUGUGAAGAAGGCCUUCGGGUUGUAAAGCACUUUUGUCCGGAAAGAAAUCCUUGGCUCUAAUACAGUCGGGGGAUGACGGUACCGGAAGAAUAAGCACCGGCUAACUACGUGCCAGCAGCCGCGGUAAUACGUAGGGUGCGAGCGUUAAUCGGAAUUACUGGGCGUAAAGCGUGCGCAGGCGGUUUGCUAAGACCGAUGUGAAAUCCCCGGGCUCAACCUGGGAACUGCAUUGGUGACUGGCAGGCUAGAGUAUGGCAGAGGGGGGUAGAAUUCCACGUGUAGCAGUGAAAUGCGUAGAGAUGUGGAGGAAUACCGAUGGCGAAGGCAGCCCCCUGGGCCAAUACUGACGCUCAUGCACGAAAGCGUGGGGAGCAAACAGGAUUAGAAACCCUUGUAGUCCCAUGA